UCGAAUUCCAUUAUACAUCGCAAUUUUUAUUUAUCGAUUUGCGAAUGUAUUCUUCAUUUUGAUCCGCCUAAUUGAAGUUAUAUAUCUGUUUCGAUUUCUUUGAUGUUUUCCCCCUAUGAUCGAAGCUGAAAGUUCUCAUUUAUUUGAGAAAUCCAAGCCAGGAAUCAUCCAAUUCAUAUGAUCGAAACUGAAAUUAUCGAGCGCUGUUCUCAUUUAUUUGAGAAAUCCAAGCCAGGAAUCUUCUGAUC